UGUCGUCUCUAAACCUAAAACGGCUGAAGAUAAGAAGCAAAGUUCGUCUCACUUCGUAAGGCAGCUAUGCGGUGAUCUUUGAGCUUCUUCCCACGUUCUGAAACAGUCGGAUUUAUGACUUUGCCUUUAAUCCCGUCGGUUCACUCUCCCAUGAUGUGUCUUCAAAGAGUUGGUUAGAUGUAAGAGGCGGUGUGAGUUUGAUAUAAAUAUAUGUGAGAUUCCUCUCCUUAAUUGUGUGGAAGAAAGCAUUGGUUCGUUUUCCUACAGAGCCACCGUAGAAGCGGGUGUAUGAUCCACCACAAGGUCAAUGCGUAAAGCUCAGGUCUGAAGAGGAAGCUGUUAGAGAGAAAGGCGACAAGUCUUGGUUAAGACCAGGGGACUACCAUCAGAUCCACUCUCCGGCUGACUGGAAUUCAUUGGUUCGCCGACACUUUGCAGGUCGUGCUUGAAGGGAUAUGGAAACAAGGUUUUAUGGCACUUGCUGCUGUCGGUGCUACCAGCAUUGGAUCCAUUGAAGUAAAAGUCUGAUGAAUAAAUUGAAACCUUAAGUCUCUAAGCCAACGACAUUGCUGACGUUUGUUAUAACAGCUUUUCAUCGAACCUGAACUAAGAACAAACAAGCCAAAGAAGAAGCUGUUUCAUGCAGCCUCUUCAAUUGUGUGGAAGAAAGCAUUGGUUCGUUUAUGCAUAUACAAACGUUAAUGGUUACACCUCCUCUAUAUUUUGUUGAUCAUAGAUGUUUUUGUUUUCUGUUUUGUAAUUAAAGAUCAUAGAUAUUUUUUGUUUUCUAGAAGAUUAGAGAGAUUUUCUACUCAAUUAAAUCUUUAACCAACUUUA